UACAUGCAAGUCGAACGCGCAGCGAAAGGUGCUUGCACCUUUCAAGCGAGUGGCGAACGGGUGAGUAACACGUGGAUAACCUGCCUCAAGGCUGGGGAUAACAUUUGGAAACAGAUGCUAAUACCGAAUAAAACUUAGUAUCGCAUGAUACAAAGUUGAAAGGCGCUACGGCGUCACCUAGAGAUGGGUCCGCGGUGCAUUAGUUAGUUGGUGGGGUAAAGGCCUACCAAGACAAUGAUGCAUAGCCGAGUUGAGAGACUGAUCGGCCACAUUGGGACUGAGACACGGCCCAAACUCCUACGGGAGGCUGCAGUAGGGAAUCUUCCACAAUGGGCGAAAGCCUGAUGGAGCAACGCCGCGUGUGUGAUGAAGGCUUUAGGGUCGUAAAGCACUGUUGUAUGGGAAGAAAUGCUAGAAUAGGGAAUGAUUCUAGUUCGACGGUACCAUACCAGAAAGGGACGGCUAAAUAC
rnacentral:rRNA from 1 species